UAGUCUCGCACAGAUGCAUAUCAAUAAGCGGAGGAAAAGAAACUAACAAGGAUUCCCCUAGUAACGGCGAGUGAAGCGGGAAGAGCUCAAAUUUGAAAUCUUAAAGGGUUUCCCUUUACGAAUUGUAGUUUAAAGAAGUGUUUUCUGUUGAGGUUUUGGUAAAAGUUCUUUGGAAUAGGACAUCAUAGAGGGUGAGAAUCCCGUAUUUGACCUUUACUUUCAACUUUGUGAUACACUUUCAAAGAGUCGGAUUGUUUGGGAAUGCAGUCCAAAAUGGGUGGUAAAUUUCAUCUAAAGCUAAAUAUUGGCGAGAGACCGAUAGCGAACAAGUACCGUGAGGGAAAGAUGAAAAGAACUUUGAAAAGAGAGUUGAAACAGUACGUGAAAUUGUCAAAAGGGAAGCGUUUGACACCAGUGUUGUUUUUCUGAAAAUCAAUUAAAGAACUGUUUAUGCUAAGCUGUUUAGACUUUAUCAGCUAUCUGUUUAGUUUUGAGCUUUUCCUUAAUGCACUUUUCAGUUAACAAGUCAACAUCAAUUUCUUUUGCUGUAAAAAAGCUUGAGGAAGGUGGCUUGAGAUUCGUCUUAAGUGUUUAUAGCCUCUUGCCUAUGCAGUCGGAGAGAUUGAGGUCUGCAGCGUAGAUCCUUCGGGGCUAAAUGCAUUUGUGCUAAGUUAUAGCAUUUUAUAGACAACUUGUUGACUAUGAUUUGUCUUGUAGCUUACUCGCUUAUGUUAUUUUACCUACGCUUAGGAUGUUGUCUGUAGUGCGUGCGC
rnacentral:rRNA from 1 species